UACGUAGGGGGCAAGCGUUGUCCGGAUUUAUUGGGCGUAAAGAGCGUGUAGGCGGCUUGACAGGUCUGCUGUGAAAACUCGAGGCUCAACCUCGAGAUGUCGGCGGAAACCGUCUGGCUAGAGUCCGGAAGAGGAGAGUGGAAUUCCUGGUGUAGCGGUGAAAUGCGCAGAUAUCUGGAGGAACACCGGUGGCGAAGGCGGCAUCCUGGACCAAUAUUGACGCUGAGGAGCGAAAGCCAGGGGAGCAAACGGG
rnacentral:rRNA from 1 species